UACGGGGGGAGCAAGCGUUGUUCGGAUUUACUGGGCGUAAAGGGCGCGUAGGCGGCCACCGCAAGUCGACUGUGAAAUCUCCGGGCUUAACCCGGAAAGGUCAGCCGAUACUGCGGGGCUAGAGUGCAGAAGGGGCAACUGGAAUUCUCGGUGUAGCGGUGAAAUGCGUAGAUAUCGAGAGGAACACCUGCGGCGAAGGCGGGUUGCUGGGCUGACACUGACGCUGAAGCGCGAAAGCGUGGGGAGCGAUCCGG
rnacentral:rRNA from 1 species